UACAGAGGGUGCAAGCGUUAAUCGGAUUUACUGGGCGUAAAGCGCGCGUAGGUGGCCAAUUAAGUCAAAUGUGAAAUCCCCGAGCUUAACUUGGGAAUUGCAUUCGAUACUGGUUGGCUAGAGUAUGGGAGAGGAUGGUAGAAUUCCAGGUGUAGCGGUGAAAUGCGUAGAGAUNUGGAGGAAUACCGAUGGCGAAGGCAGCCCCUGGUUA
rnacentral:rRNA from 1 species